CGUACAUAGAUACCAUGCUGAAAUGGUUUAGCAUAAAAAAUUUCUAGAAAGGCUAUCUUUUGAUAGGCCAUAGAAUUUCUCUCUCGAAGAAGGAUUGUCCGACAAUCCCUCAAGAGAGAGAAAGCAUGUAAGAAGAAUUCUAUAUGCCUCGAUAAUGGAUUCUAUAAUGUACAUCAUGACAUGAUGAGAUCGGAUGUGGUAUACUCACUAGGGGUAGUGAGCAGAUACCAGUCAGAUCUGGAUGAGAACUAUUGAAAAGUUGCAAAAACC
rnacentral:lncRNA from 1 species